rnacentral:lncRNA from 1 species
UGGUCUUUGAACAACAAAAUAAUGGAAGUGAAAGAUUAUGCAAAACAAUUAUAUUAUUAUUUUUUAGGCCCUGAAAGCUUUGAUAUUUUGCAUGGACGUUCAAAAGCUACUAUGCUUUUGAUUAUAAACAAUGCAGGGCAAGUAAUUUUAUCCUCAUUUUUCUUCAAAUAUGCAGGUAAAGUAAAAUAAAUAAAUUAUAUUUCUUUCACAAAAAUUCAAAAUAUAAUUUAUUUAUAUGUUUUGUUUGUGUCAUGCAGAUACAAUUUUAAAAAAGUAUUCAUCGACUGUUGCAACAAUUUUCACAGGCGUUGAAUCUGCUACUUUGUUUGGUCAUACUUUGACUAUAAAUUUCUUGCUAGGAAUUUCUACUGUUUUUAUUUCAAUGCACCAGGUAUGUGAUUCCGAUAGAAUUGGAAUUCAAGAUGCAGGUGUGAAUAUGUUUGUUUUUUUUCAUUUUUCUUUAAUAAAUAUUUUGAGUACUUAUAUAUAAAAUCUAUAAUACUUGCUUUUUUUUCAGGCUAUUCAUCGUUUAGAUUCUGAUGCAACACAACCACUUCUUCCUACUUAAGUCAACAGUUGACUUUUGAAAUGAAAGAAGAUAAUUAAAAAUAUGAGUUACUUGUCACGUAUACGGUUUAUGAGGUUUAAUGUAUUUUGGUUAGUAGAUUAUUGUUGAUAUAACUUAUAAGUUGUGUUUUUGAAGGUGAAAAAGAGAUGUUUUUAGUUUUUACAUAUGCUAUACUAUGCUCUAUGGCUCUAACUUUGUCAUUUUUUAAAUUUGUCUUAUUUUAGUCAUUUGAACCUUCUGUGGGUGAACUUCAACACCCAAACUCGUGGCUCUGGCUGCUGGUUUCCAUUAGCUCUAACACAAGGUUUGGGUGUUGCAUUUACCUUGAGGCGUUUUAUUAUUUUCCAUUCAAACUACAUAGUUUUCAAGAUUUUGUUUCGAAAUAAGAAGGUUGGAAUGACAAACCCAAAAAAUGAAGGUCGACUUUGUUCUAGAUUCGCGUUGUAAUAAUGGAUGCCAAGUUUUAUCUAUGAAGCUUUCAUAACUAAAGUAUCUUUUUUAUAGGUUAAUAAGGAUCUUCAGUUGGCUAAACCUUAGACUCAAGGAAGGGGAAGGUUCUUAUCAUAUAGGGCAAAAUUUCAUGUGGUUUUAUGUUGAUUUUUUUCGCCUUACAGCAUUUGCUCCAUUGGACUGAAUUUUUUCUCAGAUAGAUAUGUUACUGGAUGUUAGCUAUUUUUCCUCAAUAGGAAAUGUAAAAUUAGAGGUAUAGUGUGUUGAUCUUUAUGAUCAUAUCCCGGUUGCAUAUUGAAAUUAUGGUUAUUCUUUUUUGUGUCUUUUCUUUAAUAAUCCUCAAAUGGAACUCACUAACUUUAAUGAAAAUAAGAAUGGAAUUGAAUUGAGUUCCUUUUGUCAAUCACAGUGAAUGGUAAAAUCCAUCAAAUAUGAAAUUUAAUGGAAUCUGAUAGAAUUGAAUUUUUUCCAUCGGAUCAGAAUCAAAAACUAACACGCCUCAUUAUUUCCUUGGCUUUGUUGCAGGUCUGUUUUAUCUAUCUUCCCUUCAAUGACAUUAAAAAAAACACUUCAUUUUUGCACCUGAAAUUGAAGAACUACUGUUGAACCUGUGAGCAUCUUCUCAUCAUUUUUUUUGCUUUUGUUUGCUAUCAAUUUUGAUUUUCUGGUUUAACAGGUUUGAGCUUUUAUAUUUCAAUUUCCCAUCUACAAACAUUUUUUGGUUAGCCAUCAUCAAAGAUAAAUCAUGUAUAAGCCUUUUUUCAUCACAUGAGUUCCUUUACCUAAUUUUAAAUAGUAAACUUUUAAGUAUUUCAGUAUUUGUAUAAAUGUUGUUUAUGCAACGACUUUUAUUGUUGAUGAAGCAAACAUACACGCAUAAAAUCUCUUAAUCCCAAAACAUGUAUGAACUAUUGAGUCUUGAUCCCCCAAGCCCUUACUUUUUAUUUAAAAUGUCAAUUUGGUUUCUUUUCAAUGGAUUAUAAACAUCGCCAACCAGAGCCCCACCAAUGAAAUAACUAUUAGUGUUAAAUCUUUGCAACAUUUACUUUCAAAAGCUAUAAUUUUGACAAUUUUAAUCUUUAUUGAACUGUAUAAUUGUCUGUUUUCAUGUGGUGCAACUUAUUACUCAAUGAUUCAACUCAGCACACCUUUAUUUUAAGUUUGUGGCCUACAAAAUAUGAUUUUUUUUAUUGUGAUUGAUUUCAGAUCGAGAGAUUUGACAAUCCAUAUUAUGUGGGUUAAUUUCGGUUACAUUGUAAAAAUAUUUAAUGAUUGUUUUCUUUAGUUUAGAUUUUUUGAGCAAACUGCAUUAGAUGUUAGAUUGAAAGGACAUAUUUGUAAUGAAAAUGAAAGUUGGAUGCUAUAAUUCAGCAACACUUAAAAUUUUGUUGCUAAUCAUUAGUCAUUUAGUGCUUUUUCGAGAUAAAUUCAAGAAAUGGCAAUAUACUAUUAUUGAUCUGUUCAAUAUAACAUGCUACUUUCAAGUUUAUUCGCUAGGAUCUAAAUAAAUAAUCUACAUAAAGUACAAGUCCUUCAUCCACUGCACAUUUUGUAAGUCCCUUUUUCUUAGUCUGUAACAUUUUUUGUUGUUUUUCAUUUGGUAUUAGUAGAUGACAAGUCAUUUUCUAUGCAUAACAGUGAUCAUAUAAAGAAAAAUAACAUGCUAUUGCUGAAUUAUUCUUGUGGUGUCUUACAAUUAACAUCAUGUUUAUUUGGUCGGUGUGAUCUGAUUAUUUUUUUCGCCUUCCCAAAACAUUGCUUACAUUUAGUAUUUCUCUUUAUGUUAAUAAUCUUUAUUGCAUCAUAAAAGCAACUACGAAUCUUUUUACUGUUGGUGUUUGUUGAACAAAUAUUGAAGAGGCUAAAGUUGAAUCAGAUUAAAGCUCAUUAAAGGAAAUCCUGAUUUAAACUCCUAUCAAUUUAUGUUGGGUUUUGCUUGUGAAUCAACAAUUGCUUCCAGUUUUGCAAAAUAGUUUUAGAGAACCACACUAUACAUACAUGAAGACAUGCCCAUUUUUGGUUAUUACACUUUUGCAAAGAUUAUAAAAUAAACUCCUAUUGCAGUUUUCUAGCGGAAGUUGUAAAUUGUUGGCAAUAAUUUUGUUAUUCAAUCUCCUCCCUCAAAAAGGCAAACUUUUAUUUGCAUAAUCUAAUAGAAAUGUUUAUUUUUC